rnacentral:rRNA from 1 species
AACGACGCUGGCGGCAGGCCUAACACAUGCAAGUCGAACGCCCUAGCAAUAGGGAGUGGCGCACGGGUGCGUAACGCGUGGGAAUAUGCCCUUGACUACGGAACAACACAGGGAAACUUGUGCUAAUACCGUAUAAUGUCUCCGGACCAAAGAUUUAUCGGUCAAGGAUUAGCCCGCGUUAGAUUAGCUAGUUGGUGAGGUAAUGGCUCACCAAGGCUACGAUCUAUAGCUGGUCUGAGAGGAUGAUCAGCCACACUGGGACUGAGACACGGCCCAGACUCCUACGGGAGGCAGCAGUGAGGAAUAUUGGACAAUGGGGGCAACCCUGAUCCAGCCAUGCCGCGUGAGUGAUGAAGGCCUUCGGGUUGUAAAACUCUUUUAGAUGUGACGAUGAUGACGGUAACAUCAGAAAAAGCUCCGGCUAACUUCGUG